rnacentral:lncRNA from 1 species
UGCCGCGGCUGAGGGCUGUCGGGCCGCGGGCUCAGGCUCAAGUCCAGGCCGGGCUCGGGCACUGGGGCUCGGAGUUGCGGGACUUGGGGCUCCGGGGGUGGCCCCGGGACCGCCGCGGCUUCUUCCCCGUCCGCCGACUUCAGCUCUGACUCCCCACAACCCAUCAUCAUCUUUGGAGGAAGUGCUGUGGAACAUCAGAUAGAAUGGAUAGCACAGCCCAAAUUUUACAAAAAGGAUUUUAAAGGAAGAUCUCAAUGGUGGAACACUAGAGGCUUUCCUGCUAAAGUUAAGAACAAGCAAGUAUGUCUAUUAUCUCAUUGUUCAAUUGUGAAAAGAAAUAGCGAGGUACAAAUAUAAAUUUUUAAACUGGGAGUAUAAAUUAAAAAUUUUUAAUAGCGACAUAGGAGGGAGAGAAUAGAAUGAAAGACAAACAGUCUUAUUCCUCCAAAUAUACUUUGUUUUGUAUAUUUGACUUUGGAAAUGUAUGCAUUUUAUAUGAUUAUAUUAAAAGGUUUUAAAAAAUCAGGCCAGGCACAGUGGCUUACACCUGUAAU